rnacentral:tRNA from 1 species
GGGGGUGUAGCUCAGUGGUACAGCACUGGCCCAGCAGACACAGGACCUGGGUUCAAUCCUCAGCAACCCCC